GUGGGCAGCAGCUUCCAGUGGACACUGACAACUGCCCAGGCCUCCCUGGGCUUCCUGCUGUGUUAUCUCUCCACAUCAGGCCUUCCUCCGCUCCUGCAGCCAGCAGAGUGACACUCUCUCUGGCUUCCUCUUUAUCCAAGGGCUGGGACCUACUGACUUCAGCAUCCCCCUCACUCUCUCUCAUUCCUUGGGGAUGCUGACAUCCUUUCUCACCACUCUGAGCGUCGAGCGCAGAUACAAAACAAGGAAGGAAGCCGCUUGUGCUCUAAACCAUCGGUCACGGACGGAGGAGGUCCCACAGAAGCCAAGUAGGGACACUGCAGCUGAAGGAUUCACCCCACGAGUGCUUCUCCACCAUUCACUCGGAGCCAGGCUCUCUGCAGACGCUGGCAGCAGGAUGGCAAGCAGCGCGACUGUACUCUGAUCCUGCCCUCACGGGAUGGUCAUCCAAGGAUCCAGGAAACCAGACUAUGCCACUGCUGAUAGGUGAGCUGACCAAUCUCACCCAAAGUCCUGUGCUGUAAGUUUGCUUAAGUGGCCAGGGCUGAGCAGAGGCUCGGGCUUGUGAAAUAAUAAGAAAUACAUAUAUUGGUCUCUGCCCCCAGUUCCUGCUAAUAUUUGGUUUUUGACCCCAGUUCCUGACACAGAGCUCCUAAAUCCCUUGGAAUUUCCUGGGCAAGAUGAGCAUCUUUUUUUCUAAUGAGGAGACACUGCGUGGGCUCCUGGUUGGGGGCUGGUCACCAGAAAGACCAAGCCAGGCUUAUAAGUUUGGAACUUUCAGCCCUACCCCUCCAUCCUCCAGGGAGGGGAGAGGGGCUGGAAAAUAAGUUAAUAAUCAAUCAUGCCUACAUGAUGAAGCCUCCUCAAUGUACAGGAUUCAGAGAGCUUCGAGGUUGGUGAACACAACCACAUGCCAAGAGGGUAACACACCCCAACUACACCAGGCAGAAGCUUCUGUACUCAGGACCCUUCCAGACCUUUUCCUAAGUAUCUCUUCAUCCAACUGUUCAACUGUAUCCUUCAUCAUACUCUUUAUAAUAAACUGGUAAAUGUGUUUCCCUAA